rnacentral:lncRNA from 1 species
GGCCUGGCAGACGCGGCCGACCCCGUAAGGCAGCCUCCGGGGAGGACGCCUCCUCGAGCGGGAGCAAACGCAGUGAAGCUGUGUCCUCUGUCGGUUCUGCAGAAGCAGGCCCCUAGCGAGGACUCGUGUGCAAGCGAUUUACCCGGGAAGUGCUCCCAGAAUGAGCCAGGAAAGGAGGGAGGCAGGAGAGGGGAGGGAAGGAGGACAGACAGCCCGAUUCUGGCCAGGUCCUGCAGAGGGGGCUUCAGUCUGAUCCCACGGGGGCCUCUGGAGUGUAGUUACAGCUCGGCGCUGCCUAAACCCAGGCAAGGGAGCGGGGCUUCCUAGGCCCGCACCCCAUCCACCGGCACCUUCCAGGGAGAUCUGGGCCUCAUACAGCUUCCUGGCGGAGGGUGCCUGGGCCUGCCUUGUGAGGACAGCAGGACAUGCAGGUUCUGAUGAGGAAAAGGGUUUGAGCAGGACCCGAGGGAAGAGCUCAGGCACAUUCUGGAAGGCCAAGGCUGCCAUUCCUGCCUGGAUGAGGACCGAGGCCCAGCCCUGACUGAGCACAGGCCAAGGGGGAGCUCAGAGCUCCGGGAUGGGUCGGCUCCCUGCAGGCCAUGGGCUAAGUUCACCCAACUAUUUCAGCAAAAGUCCCACAAACCACCUCCGGAAAUCCCUUUCUCAUCUGCAGCUUUGGGGCCAAAACCCUGAAGUGUGAUGAGCAGGGACAAACAGCUCAGGUGACAGGUACCACUGGCUUAUUCAUCUAAAACUGUUCAGAAAUGAGUCAGUGGCCCCAAGAGGCUGCACCAACAGGAGCUCAGGGCCCUGGGUGAGGUGGGCAUGGGUGAGCCACAAUUCACUCUCCUCCCCUCCCUUGUGGUCCCACCUGGACCUCCUGGCCUCCAGCCUCACCUCCUGCCAUCCAGUCUCCUGGAGUUGCCAGAGGGUCUCUUCGAAAAAGCAAACCUGGUCCUGUCCUUCCCUGCCUGCCACCUUCCAUGGCUCCCCGUUGCCCUCAGGAGAAAGACCAAAGCCUCGGUUUUCUCCUAGGCCCUCUCUUGUGUUGAAGAUGCUUAACCCGCAGACAUGAGAGCACAAACCUCAGGCAGAAAUCAGGUGUCCAGCAGCUACCCAAAGCCCCAGGCAUUGAGAGGAGCGGCCCAGCCAUCUGGGAAGAAGGAAAAGCUGCCCCGGGACCUGCCCGGCCUGCCUCUCCGGCUUUACCUCUGUAAUUAAUUUAUGGAAAGUGUCUAAACUGGGAGUCAGCGCAGCCUGCAAAUCUUGGAUUAGUCUGGAAUUUGGCAAAUUUUGCAUUAUGCCCGGGCAGGAGUGGCCCCACCACAGGCCUGCGUCACCUGGGCCCACCCCCCGGGAGACAGCAGCUUGGCAGAAGGGAGCAAGAGCCAUGGGAGCCGUUGGUGUAC